UGCAGUUUGUCGGUGAGACAAGUUGAACGUUGGUUCAGAAGAAGACGUACUCAGGACCUUCCUGGAGUCCUCAAGAAGUUCAGAGAGGCCAGCUGGAGGUUUUUCUUCUACCUGUCUGCAUUUAUCGGAGGAAUAAUAGCACUGUAUGAUAAAGAAUGGUUUUAUGACACGCGGGAAGUAUGGACAGGUUUUCCAAAGCAGGUUUGUAUACUAUUUAUACACACC